GACGAACGCUGGCGGCGUGCCUAAUACAUGCAAGUAGAACGCAGUUGCGAACGGGUGAGUAACGCGUAGGUAACUGCCGCAUAGCGGGGGAAAACUAUUGGAAACGAUAGCUAAUACCGCAAACUGUGCGAUGGACCUGCGUUGUAUUAGCUAGUUGGUGAGGCAAAGGCUCACCAAGGCGACGAUACAUAGCCGACCUGAGAGGGUGGUGCGCCACACUGGGGCCGGGAACAGGCCCCGACUCCUUAGGGAGGGAGCAGUAGGGAAUCUUUGGACAUGGGCGGAAAGCUGACCGAGCAACGGCGCGUGAUUGAAGAAGGUUUUCGGAUCGUAAAGCUAUGUUGUGAGAGAAGCGGUAACUAACCAGAAAGCGACGGCUAACUCCGUGCCAGCAGCCGCGGUAAUUC
rnacentral:rRNA from 1 species